rnacentral:tRNA from 1 species
AAAAUUUUAGUUUAAUAUGAAAAAUGAUCUACUUACAAUAGAUUGAUUAUUAUUAUAUAAAGUAAUAAAAUUUUU